rnacentral:rRNA from 1 species
UAAUUGAAGAGUUUGAUCAUGGCUCAGAUUGAACGCUGGCGGCAGGCCUAACACAUGCAAGUCGGGCGGUAACAGGGGGAAGCUUGCUUCUCUGCUGACGAGCGGCGGACGGGUGAGUAAUGUAUGGGGAUCUGCCUGAUG